rnacentral:lncRNA from 1 species
UGGGCCCUUAAGGCGAAAUUGGCAGGGCCUGAAGAGGGAGACACUGAGGGCCUGUCAGAGAGCACCCAUCCAGGAGAAAACGGGCUUCAUCCUGGGGACACAGCCAGGCCCUGCUGGAGACCCUAACAGGGUAAAAAGUAAAGUUCUGUCUCCCCUACACCUUGAACCAGAGUGAAGCAUGAUGGAAGAACAGAAGAGGAAGGCAUGGGAGAAAACUAACUAAGGGACCCGAUCACCCAGGAACACACAACACUUCAAUCAUUUUGCUCCUAUCUGAAGAGGAUAUUUACCUUUACCUCCACUCGAUCUCCGGAAAGAAUCUUCUUGUACAGAAGAGGAAAAGACAAAUCCGGGCAGGCUGAAAGAGGCAGCCGAAGCCCACAGGAUGAAAACGUGAUAUUUCCGUUCAUUUGAUUUUCGGAGACCAUUCGACGCCCCUCCCCAGCCCACACAUCUACUCUUGAGAAUGGACGCCUUGUCCUGACUGACGCCCUCUGUUCAAAUUUUCCUUUCGUUGUCGCAAGAUUAGGUUACUACGU